rnacentral:lncRNA from 1 species
CCCUUCCUUCCCACCAUCCCAUCUCGCCUGCAACCUUAACGGAUGGAGAAACUUGGAAUUUCGCUGCGUUCCCAACCUUCUCACAUGCGGGAGGAAAGGGGGGCGGCGGAGGGAAACAAAUGUCCAUUUUAAAUCCCAGGCACAAAAGAAAGCAGCAUCGAGGAUGGGCAUUUCAACACGCAAAGGGUGUCUUUCCCCUGACAAAGGCGGCUGCGGGACCCAAAAGCUUGCCGAUUAUUAUUGAGUGAUUCGAUCCAGGAAUGAUCAACACUUGUUUCUGCAUUUUUGCACAAAGCCUAUAUAUGUAGUUUGUUGCCAUUGCAUCUUUGUUCCAAACACGUCGGAAUAUUCCAGGAAUAAUCACCGUUGGGGGGGGCACUGAAAGCGAGGAAAAACGUACAUUGGAUGAGUUUGUGGUGGUGGUGGGGUGGGGGGUUUUUCUUGCCAGGAGUCUGGCAUGGCUUCAAUCACAUGAUGGGAAGUGGAAACCCCAAUUUCCUCAGAUUUAAAAGCACGUCAGUCCCCGUCCCCCCCCCCAGGAGAGGAGCAGUGCAGCACAAAAGGGGGGCCCUUCCAAAAUACCAAAAGGGAGGAAGCUGAUCUCCGGGAAUUGGAGGCGGAGCCUUGGAUUGAGUCCCCACAAAGCAUCCGCCUCGUUGGCCCUCCAGUUGUGGAACGAUUACAACAACCCAGCGGCAGCCGCUCUCGUCACCGGAUGGCCGAAUGCUUGGAAAACAGAAAUGGCUGCCUUGGAAUUGCCUCAGGGGAUACUGUGUGGUCUCUUUCUCCCUCCACAAAGAAGGUGAGAAAAGGACAGAAAUGGUCUGCAAUGGAAGCAACUCGGGUCGGAGACUCUUGGAAGCUAUUGGUAGGUUUCCAAAGCUGUUUGGAUCCACCAAACCGAAAAGCAUUAAUGUCCAUUUGAAUUUCUGCACGCACAAAACACUGUUAUCUGGAUUACGUCUUGCCAGCAGACGUUGUUGGGAAGAGAA